rnacentral:lncRNA from 1 species
UGCAAGCUCAUUUUUUUAUUAGUUCAAACCCACAUUAAGAGAUUUAUUAGUUCAAACCCAUAAAUUAAUUUAAUUUUAUUAUAGCAAGACCAAAGAGGACGAAUAUACCCUUAUCAUUAAAUAAUACCUAAAUACAAAUUAACCCUACUUUUUUAUUUGUACAAAACCAAAAAAUAAAAAACUCAAAAGAAAUAAAAAAAAAAAAAAAAGAAUACGUAAAAACAAAACGGCCGCACGACCUUGGCAGAAGACCGCCGCACGUCUACCGCAGAAGACCGCCGCACGACCACCGCCCAAGACUGCCGCACGACCACCACCAGACCGCCGGCGACGAUCAGCAAGCCACCACCACCGCACCAUCACCACCACCAAACCAUCUCCACCGCACCAUCACCACCACCACCAACAAGUAAGGCCCUCUUAUGAAACUUUUGUUUGUACAUACGAAAACACCAAUCGAGCAUAGAUUCUUGAUAAAAUUUUGUUUUCCUGUACCGAUUUACAACUUUUUUUUUUUUAAAUUUUGGAAAAACAGAAAAAUUUCGGUGCUAGAGAACCGAUUUUGCAAAGAAAAAUCGGUUUUCUAGAACUGAUUUUUCAUUUCAAAAUCGGUUCUGUAGCACCGAUAUAUGCCUGUUUUUGAUAUUUUGAGUUUGAAAAUGUGUAUUUGAUAAUUUCGACGUGUAGGGUUUCUCUAGCACCGAUUUUUCAUUUCAAAAUGUGUAUUUGAUAAUUUCGACGUGUAGGGUUUCUUGGUGGCUUUGUGAAGAAGAAGGAGGAGAU